rnacentral:sRNA from 1 species
ACCUAGCACGAGAUCUUUUGGGAGCUCACUGGCUUCAGGUUCCAUCGGAACUCCGAAGUUAAGCGAGUUCGGGCGAGAGCAUUCCCAUGAUGGGUGACCCAUUGGGAAGUUCUUGUGUGAGUUCCCAGAAACAAAACCGUGAGGGUGUGGUCGGGGCCCAAAGCAGACAAUAUUGUGCUACGGUGGAGUUGAGCUUGAGAUGUGACAAUUUGGUAUCAGAGGCAAUCUCUAGCCGGAAGUGUGCUGACGAAGACGUCGAGCCCCUAAGGGGGGUGGAUUGUGACAUCCUACAUCGCCUAGGGAAGUGGAUAUUGUAAGCUUUAUAUGUAUAUUCUCAUCUUUACCUAGCACAAGGCCUUUUGGGAGCUCACUGGCUUCAGGUUCCAUUGGAACUCCAAAGUUAAGCGAGUUCGGGUAAGAGCAUUCCCAUGAUGGGUGACCUACUGGGAAGUUCUGGUGCGAGUUC